GAUGAAGAACGUAGUGAAAUGCGAUAAGUAAUGUGAAUUGCAGAAUUCAGUGAAUCAUCGAAUCUUUGAACGCACCUUGCACCCUUUGGCAUUCCGAAGGGUAUGCUCGUUUGAGUGUCAUUGUACUCUCACUCUCCCGAUGCUUUUGGAUCGGGAGUGGUGGACUUGGGUGUUGCUGCUUUGCUGUGGCUCGCCUCAAAUGGAGUAGUGCAACUCCUGGUUGGACAUAGUACGGCGUGAUAAGUGUCUUCGCCGGCGCCUCAUUAUAGAGGGUGGCCGAUCGGGAGCUCUGUGCUUCAAACCGUCUUCGGACAACAUCUGACAACUUGACCUCAAAUCGAGUAGGACUACCCGCUGAACUUAAGCAUAUCAAUAAGCGGAGGA
rnacentral:misc_RNA from 1 species